UGGACCAUGGGCACCAUCAGGGCUGGCUCUAUCAUAAGGCAGCCCAAGCGGCUGCUUGAGGGCGCAGAGAAGGGGGGGCGGUGCCGGGGCGGAAAACAAUUAACUUGCUAACUUACAUUUACCCCGCUGAGCCUGUGUGCUGAGCAGCCCGGCUGCCC